rnacentral:misc_RNA from 1 species
AUGAGGUUUCCUGGAAGAACAACAACAACCUCCCAUCCCCUGCAAUUAUUUCUGUUAUUCGGUCAAAGCUACCAGCUUCAUUGCAUAGCUUUCUGUUGUCGGUGAUAACAGCAAAAGUAUCAAUCGAAAUUUAGUCGGAAAGUGACCAAAAGAAGAGCAUAAAACCUAAUUUGAGAGAAAGAAAGAGAACUGUAGAUGAAAUU